AUUGAACGCUGGCGGAAUGCUUUACACAUGCAAGUCGAACGGCAGCACGGGAGCUUGCUCCUGGUGGCGAGUGGCGAACGGGUGAGUAAUGCAUCGGAACGUACCUUUUAGUGGGGGAUAACUAUCCGGAAGGAUAGCUAAUACCGCAUACGCCCUGAGGGGGAAAGCGGGGGAUCGCAAGACCUCGCGUGAUUGGAGCGGCCGAUGUCGGAUUAGCUAGUUGGUGGGGUAAAGGCCUACCAAGGCGACGAUCCGUAGCGGGUCUGAGAGGAUGAUCCGCCACACUGGGACGGAGACACGGCCCAGACUCCUACGGGAGGCAGCAGUGGGGAAUUUUGGACAAUGGGGGCAACCCUGAUCCAGCCAUGCCGCGUGAGUGAAGAAGGCCUUCGGGUUGUAAAGCUCUUUCAGACGGAAAGAAAACGCCCUUGUUAAUACCGGGGGUGGAUGACGGUACUGUCAGAAGAAGCACCGGCUAACUACGUGCCAGCAGCCGCCGUAA
rnacentral:rRNA from 1 species